CUACGGCGGCUGCAGUGGGGAAUAUUGGACAAUGGGGGAAACCCUGAUACAGCAAUGCCGCGUGUGUGAAGAAGGCCUGCGGGUUGUAAAGCACUUUCGGUUGGGAGGACUGCUUCUAGCACUAAUAUUGUUGGAAGUUGACGUUACCUUCAGAAGAAGCACCGGCUAACUCCGUGCCAGCAGCCGCGGUAAUACGGAGGGUGCAAGCGUUAAUCGGAAUUACUGGGCGUAAAGCGCGCGUAGGCGGCUAGAUCAGUCGGGUGUGAAAGCCCCGGGUUUAACCUGGGAACUGCAUCCGAUACUGUCUAGCUUGAGUACAGGAGAGGAGAGUGGAAUUCCACAUGUAGCGGUGAAAUGCGUAGAUAUGUGGAGGAACACCAAUGGCGAAGGCAGCUCUCUGGCCUGAUACUGACGCUGAGGAGCGAAAGCGUGGGGAGCAAACAGGAUUAGAUACCCCAGUAGUC
rnacentral:rRNA from 1 species